AAGAGGAGGCCUGAGGAGGCUUGGGCUGCUAUAGCAGGUUUCAGGACCUGCUGCAGCUGGGCCCCUGAAUAUACUAUGCUCGGCUUCAGGUCUGAGGGAGGAGGCUGGGGGCCAGGGCUUGACUCUGGAGCCUUCAGAACUUUGGAGCAGGAGGGACUUGCCAGUUGGGCCCUGAUAUAUCAGGGGCUUUUACCAAACCGAAAGCUGUGAUGUGAUAGAAAAAUGCCAGAACUCUGUUCCUGGUGGUCCAGCCAACCCCACAGAACUCUGGAGGGAGAGGCAGGACACUGAGGCCAUCCGGGAAAGAGUAUGAGGUUUGGGAGUUGGUGGUGAGAAAGUGGGGAGCUUGGGACUUGGCAUUUUACCACAGACUGCCUUCCAGAGCCUUCCAGACUGAGCCUGGGGUGAUGGUGUCACAAUACUUAGCUACUGUUUAUCGAAGACUUAUUAAAUGGUUAAGCACUGUGCUCAGAACUUCACAUACUUUAUCUCCUUUAGUUUUUAUGACAUCCAUAUAAGGCAGGUAUUACCAUUAUUCCCAGGGCUGUCAUGUACUGUUGCCCAGACUGUUCACUGCACAAAGGUACCCAACCAUAGAUGAGUAUGUGAAGGCUAAAAUCCACCCAGUGCUCUACUCACCCACUCUGUUCCUGUGGGUCUGUGUUUACUAUAAGAAGGUCCUCUUGUUCUUACGUUAUAGCUGGGAAGUUAGGCUUUGAGAAGAUGAAAUUACUUGUCCAAAUCUUUGUAACAGGUAAGAUCAGAUCUGCUGACUCCAAAACCUCUCAAUGAACCACUAUACCCCGUAUCUUCAGGCGUAUGUACUCACACUCCUCUCUGCUUUUCUUUUUCCUCGGGACCCAACUGCUCACAGUAGGCAACGUGGUAGGAGGCAAAAGCUUGGGCCGGGAGAUAGGAGACCUGGGUUGCAGGCCUGGCUCCACCUUAGUAUUCACCUCUCCUCUUCACACCUCAGUCUCCUUAUCUGUAAAGUGGGAAUUUCAAUUAGAGUUCUUUAGAAGCAAGAGAAACCAACUUGGGCUUACUGGAAAAAAAAAAAAAAAAA
rnacentral:lncRNA from 1 species